rnacentral:lncRNA from 1 species
UUCUCCCCCUUUGUAAUAAAGGACUGCACUGCUUAUUCUAGAAUGUGGAUUAUAAAGGUGCUGGAAGAUGGAGUGCUAUGGAGAGGAGCUUGUGGCAUAUGUGUUUUUCUGAGCUGUCACUUCUGUGAGCUGGGCUGGAGUAUUGUCCUGUCAAGUCCUGUCAUGAUCUAAGUAUCAAAGGAGCCACCCACAAGUGAAGGAUACUAAAAAUGAAAAGCCAGGCUGCAAACCCCAGGGGAGAAACAUGACAAGGAAAGAGCCUGCAGAGAACAGUGCCUUUGCAUGUACAGGUCUGUCUGCAGGAACAUUCUGCUGACUUCUGUCCAUCCCUUUUCACUCAGCUUUCGUCAAUCCAACUGAUUUUCAGUCCACAGACCCCAAGCCUGCAGGAAGCUCUUCAGAGACUAAGUAAGCCCUUGUAGCAAGCCUGAAAAGAUUCUGAAGUCCGGUGAAACAGCUGACGCCAACCAGUUUGAAGACCCCACAUAGGAACAGAAUCAGCAUGAGGACAGUUUCUUCAUCUGUCUGUCCUAUGAUUUCACCCUGCACUCUUUGACCAAUCAACAAUCUUCACACUUCUGCCUGUUCUAAAACUCUUAUAAACUUUAGCCCCAAACUCCUCACGGAGGUGGAUUUGAGGUUUCCUCCCAUCUCUUUAUUCGGUAGCCCUCCAAUUAAAUCUCUUUCUCCUGCAACUUGACAUCUUGGCAUAUUGAUUUGCUGCACAUAUUGGGCGCUGGACCUAUUAUGGCUAUAGUAUCACAAAUAUUGAGAUAAAAUGACAUCUUUUGCCUCCUGAUAUGAUGUAUUGAGAACAUGAGUUACCUCUCUGGUAGAAACACUAAAAAACCUCAAAUUGGGGGGCUAUUCUAUAAAACAACUGGCCUGUGUUUUUCAAGUGUAAAUGGUCAAAAAAGGGGCAAAAUAAUUGUUUAUGAUUAAAAUAAACUAAAAAUAAAAACUAAAUGUAAUGCAUAAUUCUCGGUUGAAUCCUAUACUAGAGGAAGAUAAAAUAGGUAUAAAGGGCAU